rnacentral:rRNA from 1 species
AAACAGCUUGCUGUUUCGCUGACGAGUGGCGGACGGGUGAGUAAUGUCUGGGAAACUGCCUGAUGAGGGGGAUAACUACUGGAAACGGUAGCUAAUACCGCAUAACGUCGCAAGACCAAAGAGGGGGACCCUCGGGCCUCUUGCCAUCGGAUGUGCCCAGAUGGGAUUAGCUUGUUGGUGGGGUAACGGCUCACCAAGGCGACGAUCCCUAGCUGGUCUGAGAGGAUGACCAGCCACACUGGAACUGAGACACGGUCCAGACUCCUACGGGAGGCAGCAGUGGGGAAUAUUGCACAAUGGGCGCAAGCCUGGUGCAGCCAUGCCGCGUGUAUGAAGAAGGCCUUCGGGUUGUAAAGUACUUUCAGCGGGGAGGAAGGGAGUAAAGUUAAUACCUUUGCUCAUCGACGUUACCCGCAGAAGAAGCACCGGCUAACUCCGUG